rnacentral:rRNA from 1 species
UACGAAGGGGGCUAGCGUUGCUCGGAAUCACUGGGCGUAAAGGGUGCGUAGGCGGGUCUUUAAGUCAGGGGUGAAAUCCUGGAGCUCAACUCCAGAACUGCCUUUAAUACUGGCGGCCUUGAGUAUGGCAGAGGUGUGUGGAACUCCGAGUGUAGAGGUGAAAUUCGUAGAUAUUCGGAAGAACACCAGUGGCGAAGGCGGCUCACUGGCCCGGUACUGACGCUGAGGUGCGAAAGCGUGGGGAGCAAACAGG